rnacentral:rRNA from 1 species
CCUACGGGUGGCAGCAGUGAGGAAUAUUGGUCAAUGGGCGCUAGCCUGAACCAGCCAAGUAGCGUGAAGGAUGACUGCCCUAUGGGUUGUAAACUUCUUUUAUAUGGGAAUAAAGUGCAGUAUGUAUACUGCUUUGCAUGUACCUUAUGAAUAAGCAUCGGCUAACUCCGUGCCAGCAGCCGCGGUAAUACGGAGGAUGCGAGCGUUAUCCGGAUUUAUUGGGUUUAAAGGGUGCGUAGGCGGUAUUUUAAGUUAGUGGUAAAACGUCGGGGCUUCACCUUGAUUGGCCAUUAAAACUGGAGUACUAGAGUACAGACGAGGUAGGCGGAAUAAGUUAAGUAGCGGUGAAAUGCUUAGAUAUAACUUAGAACCCCGAUAGCGAAGGCAGCUUACCAGACUGUUACUGACGCUGAAGCACGAGAGCGUGGGUAGCGAACAGGAUUAGAUACCCCAGUAGUC